rnacentral:lncRNA from 1 species
CAAAAGGAGUUGUAAACUGAGAAUAAACACAUUGCCUUCUUAGUGUGAUUUUUUUUUUUUUGUCUUUUUUUUUUUGUCUUUUUAGGGCCCCCCCCACGGCAUACAGAGGUUCCCAGGCUAGGGGUCCAAUUAGAGCUGCAGCUACCAACCUACACCAAAGCUUACAGCAAGGCCAGAUCCCUAACCCACUGAGCGAGUCCAGGGAUCCAACCCGAAACCUCAUGGUUCCUAGUCGGAUUCAUUUCCGCUGAGCCACAACAGGAAUUCCAACUGUUAUUUUUUUUUAAUUCAGACUUUGUUUAUUCUUCCUUUUCCCCAACUGAAAUCUAGGUUUUCACAGGCAAUCAGCUGGCCUUUUGAUUUGAGCAGAAUUUGCAACUGCUUUUAAAGUCAAAGAUCAAUGCUUAUCAAAAAUCUAGUCACCCUGGAAAUCUUUUUCUUUUCCUGAGCUGUAGAGGCUGCUUUUCUGGUAAUGUAGGCUUACCUCGUGCUGCAUUUGGAGGUGAUCUGCAUCUGGAAAGAGCCCUAUAAUCUUCUUUCCCUCCCAGCCCCCAGGCAGAUUGGUUGGCAAUUACCAUCAGUCCUUUGUGGCUGCUCCAGGGACCAAGUCUGGGUCACACAGCUCUGAAUUCACCCAUCUAUCCAGAGAGGGGGAGAGGGGAGUGCAGGCCAGCAGGGGGGCCUCCAGACUUCACUGGGAUGCACCAGACUCCUCUGCCUUCCCUCUGUGGCUGUCUCAUUGUGUUUCAGUCUUUUCACUCUUUUUUCCUUUUCUCCUCUGAUAGGGAUUUUUGGGAGAGGAUCUUAAAUAGUAAGGGUUUGCAUUCCCACUCCUUUAAAUCAUCUCUAGAUGACGUAUAAUACCUAAUACAAGGUACAUGCUAUGUAAACAGUUAUAAAGAAUUGUAAAUGCUGUGUAAAUAGUUGGCAGUAUGCAGCAAAUUCAAGUUUUGCUUUUUGGAACUUUAUGGAAUCUUUUUUUUUUUUUUUUUAAUAUUUUCUAUCCUCUGUUGGUUGAAUCCCCAGAUGUGGAAGGCCCACGGUAAUUCCGAAAAAAGAAAGCAGCUUUCACAGACAAUGCAUACAUUCCUCCGGCCAAUAGGUGGCGCUGCACUUGAUUACUCAGUCCCCCUAGAAAUUUAAACGGAAAAAUCUGUAUCCCUAGAUAUCAACACCUGUGAUUUCCACUUCAUUUUUCUUCCUUUUCUUUUAUCAUGCCGUUUCUUUAUGUUCUAUGUAGCAAGAAAAAGGAUGCAAAGGGAAUUCCAAGCCUAUGUAAAAGCUUGUGCUGAUGAAUUAAAUUAAAGCACCUCAUUUGUUCAUUCAUUCAUUUAAUCAUUCGUUCAAUGAUAUCAACAAGGGACACUUUUUGAGUACUCUGUGCUAAACUCUAUGCUAAUUAACUCAUUAAAUCUAUAUCAUUACUCUGAGAUAUCUGGUAAUAUUAUUUCAUUAUUUCAUAAGUAAGAAAUUUUCAAGAAAUAUUUAUUUUGCUAGGCCCUAAUGCUAAGUGGGGAGGAAUAGAAAAAAAAAUUAACAUAUUGUCCUAGCAUCAAGGGCAUAGAAUCAAGGAGGAAGAGAUACAUGUAUAAACAAAAACAUGUAAUAACAUAUUAUGGGAGCCGCUGUAAGCAGCUGUUAGUAUCUACAUGGGCACAAAGAAGGGUGUGGUCCCUUCUCCUUAGUGUUAUUCAGCUGGCUAUAAUUCUUGAGGCUCUCUAAAGAAUUGGGAAAAAAUGGACCUAGGGCCAGCAUCUCAAUACACCCUUUUUUUACCAAACCUAUUGUCCACCCCCGCCUUUUCCCAAUGACCUCUGCUGGCAGGUUCCCCCUGCACUCUCAUGCCUGUGCUAUCCCCCAGGUCCUUGGGUAUGCUCACCCUAGAAAGAAAAGCCAGAUACUUCCCAUGAUAACCAUGGUGUGAUAUAAAAAGUUCACUCUCUUAACAGCAGGUCCCUAAAAACCCUCUUAAGAAAGCCAGCUUGGGAAGAUACCCUGAUCAACUUCUUGAGGGCAGAGUGGACAGGUUACAAGGUAAGAAGCCAAAGGUAAGGAUUAAUGAAGAGAGAGUAGCAGUUCCUGUGUGGUUCAGGAGAUUAAGGACCUGACUUAUUUGUGAGGAUGAGGGUUCGAUCCCUGGCCUUCCUCAGUUGGUUAAGGAUCUGGCAUUGCGGCAAGCUGCAUCAUAGGUUGCAGAUGUGGCUUAUGUCCAGUGUUGCUGUGGCUGUGGCGUAGGCUGGCAGCUGCAGCUCCAAUUCAACCCCUAGCCUGGGAACUUCCAUAUGCCGUGGGUGCAGGCAUUAAAAAAAAAAAAGUUGAGAGAGUAAAAGCAAUUUAUUGUGCUCCUGAGAAGAAAGAAAGAGAGGAAAUGAGGCAGAGAGAAACCAGAACUACCCAGAGGGUGGACCCCUUGCUGUAAAAUUCGCAGAAACAGAUGGUGGAUGCUGGUGGCCAAAGGAAACGUCUAAGAAUGAGGACGCCUAGUGGCCAGUUGUAGUUGUGGUCCCUUCCUUCACAUUCCCAUUGCCUUCACCCCUCAACACACACACACACACACACACACAGAAGAGAGCUCUACCUUUUGAAUGAAAACAAAAGGCCAAGCCUUGUGUGGGACUGGAUGCCUUGAGGCACACAGGGAGGGUUUAGGUACAGGGACAGAUUCAAAUUGUAUGGAAUCUGAAGUUCUUACAGUUCAGUGAGAUUCUCUUUAAAAAUACUGUAAAAAUAUCAAACUUUUGCAAAUUUUACAAAAACAUAUGACAAUGUGGACAUUUUGCUCAGGCCUCCCACAAAGGAGCAGCCAUGGAAUUUAAGCAUCAGUGGCUUUCUUAUAAAUCUUCCACAGGGCAGAUGUGCUCACAGGAGAACCAGACCCCACUGGAAAAUCCUCAGAAAUCUUGGAGAGAGCUGUGGGUGCCACAGGCCACACAAUCAGGGGGUUUGAGUCAAGCUGAUCUUGAACUCAGAGGCUGGCUGGAUAUGACUGACAGCUGGGUUAUAAUCACUUUCCUGCUCUCAAGAGCAAAGUACAAUCUCAGAGGAGGAGAGACCAUGGUGAAGGCAGCUGCGGCCAGAUCCUUGAAGGGCAUGUCUGAGAACCUGUGCUUCUGGAGGGGGUGGGAGGGAGGACGACCACUGGCCUGCACAGUGAGAUGAGCCAGCUCUUUAAAAGCUCUUCAAGUCUUAUUAGAAAAUUGCAGUGGAGAGACGCCCUGCCCUCUUUUCCAUCCCAGGGCGCAUGGUAAGCUCUGCCCUCCACUCUGAUUACCCUCAUUUUGGAGCUCAGAAAGAAGCUAAUCAGAGACUUCACAUCGCACAAGCUCCUUCAAGUGCAAUUUAGAAUUCAGCAUGAUGAAGGGAGGCAUCAGGUGUGUGAUUAUAAGGAAACCUUCGAACAUAAUUAAGGAGUGAAGGUGCAGGGGUGGGAGGUAGACAGGGCUGGUCAGAAGCAAAGGGGCACAGCUCACCACCUCUCUCCAAGGCUCCCCACCCUGCACACCAGCCAACGAGGAAACACAGCUUCACCGCAUUCCUCCACAUCCUGCAGCAUCCCCAGUAAGCCUCACAACCCUCUGAGUGGGGUGUAUUAGUUUUCUCUUGCUGCUGUAACAAAUUACCAUAAAUGUAAUAUCUUAAAAUAACACACAUUUAUUUCCUUAAGGUCCCAUUGGUCAGAAGCCUGAAAUAGGUCUCACUGGGCUUAAAUCAAGGUGAAGCUGACUCAGGGCUGCAUUCUGUGUUGGAGGCUCUGGGGAGAAAUCUUUCUCUUGCCAUUUCUGGCUUCUAGAGGCUGUCUACACCUUGCUCACGGUCCCCUCCCAUCUUCAAAGUCAGCAAUGCCCAUCAGGUCUUUUUCACAUCUCGUAACUGUGACAUUGACUCUCCUGCCUCCCUUUUCCACAUGUAAGGACACUUGUGAUUACACCCAGAUAAUGCAGAAUAGUCUCUUUAUUUUAAAGUCCAGCUGAUUAUCAACCUUACUUCCCCUUCCCCAUAUAAUGUAACAUAUUUACAUAUUCCAGGGAUUAGGGAAUUAGGACAUGGACAUCUUUGAUGUCCUUAUUCUGCCUAUCACAAUACACAACAUUAUCUCCUGUCUUCCAGGUGAGCAGAAUGAGGCACAGAGGUCCUGUGGCUGGCCCAAGGUCAACACAGCUGGUAAGCAGCAGAGUUGGGAUUCACCCUGGCCAUCUGAUGCCAGACCCUGUAUUUUUAAGCUCUAAACUGUACUCCUUCCAUAUAAUCAUUGUUAUUUUAUUCAAAACUUUAUUGUAUUUUAUUUUGUUCAACACUUUUGUUGAUGGAAAUGGAAGGAUUUGGGGUGAGGCAAAUCUUGUGGUGGCAGGAAUUGCUGGUGGUAUGGAUGUGAGGAGUGGGAGAGGCAUACUGUGUACCCUGGAAUAGUGCCAAAUGGGGGCAUGGUCUUCCUGUAUUAGGUCACAGGAGACCUGGGUUCAAAUCUCAGCUCCAUCGCUUAAAUCUGUGUGCUUUCCAGCCAGUUGCUGGAUCACUGAGUUUCCUCCUCUGUGAAAUGAUAAUAACAGAACCCACCUUGUGGGCUUAUUGUAUUAACUAAAACAGCAUGUACAAGGAGUUCCCAUCCUGGCUCAGUGGUUAAUGAAUCCGACUAGGAACGAUGAGGUUGUGGGUUCAAUCCCUGGCUUUGUUCAGUGGGUUAAGGAUCCAGUGUUGCCAUGAGCUGUGGUGUAGGUCACAGACGUGGCUCAGAUCCUGAGUUGCUGUGCCUGUGGUGUAGGCCAGUGGCUACAGCUCUGAUUCGACCCCUCGCCUGGGAACCUCCAUAUGCUGAGAGUGCGGCCCUAAAAAGAAAAAA